AAUGUACAUUGUAGUGAAUGCUGAAGACAAAUACAAGUGAUCAGACUGAUAAAGAAAAUAGCACACAGAUUUUUGAGAAUUAAUUUUGGUAAUUCAAGUUGAUUAUCUGUCAUUUGCAACAGUGAAUGAUGAGCCUAACACUGGAAUAACAUUAUAAGAUUCAAAUACUGAACUCCUGGCAUCUCAUCAGGACAUUCCAUUUGACUUUACCUGGAAAUGGAGGAACGCUUGCAAAGAGAAAAUGGAACCUGUGCAUCAGAACACCGGCUCAGAAGCAGAUCAAGGAUGAGUACUUUGAGAAACACAGGUACCUUUAAGUAUUCCAUAUCAAUGACAGAAUCACUGGCUGCCCGGAGCAGAGAGGGCCACUGUGGAGCUGUCACUUCUUCAAUCACUUGUGUUUCAACUUUGAUUCAUUCCUACACUCACCAGUGGGGAGUUGUGAAGUGUGCUGCCUUCUUAUCUGCACAAAUUAAAAUGGAUCCUGCAGCAUGGAAAGGAGAAGGAAGAAAUGUUAGAAGAGAAAAGGGAACUCGCCCAGCAUGGAUUCAAAGGCAGUGGCAGAAGAUGUCGAGUGAAGAUAUGUUUGACUAUUUGACGUACAGAGCAAAAGGAUCCACUUGA
rnacentral:lncRNA from 1 species